UUGAUGGAGAGUUUGAUUCUGGCUCAGAAUGAACGCUGGCGGCGUGCUUAACACAUGCAAGUCGAACGGACGAGUGGAGCUUGCUCCAUGAGUUAGUGGCGAACGGGUGAGUAACACGUGAGCAACCUGCCCCGAAGAUUGGGAUAACACCGGGAAACCGGUGCUAAUACCGAAGACCUCUCCCUCAUCGCAUGGUGGGGGAAAGAAAGUUUUUUCGCUUCGGGAGGGGCUCGCGGUCCAUCAGCUUGUUGGCGGGGUAACGGCCCACCAAGGCAUCGACGGAUAGCUGGUCUGAGAGGACGA
rnacentral:rRNA from 1 species